CACUUUGAAAGCAAUUUAAAAAGUCUUUCUCAGAAGCAGGUGAGCUGUGUGCUGUCCUGUACAUGCUGCAGUGUUUCAGAAGGCACCAUGCGACCUGUGAGACUCAGCACAAUACUAUUUUUAACUACUGUAGCCUGCUUUGGAACGCUUGAUGAGGGUCAACAAAGGCCUGUGCUGAGCCGGAUCUCUCCAGAGGGAGAUGUAUUCGAAGGAGACACAGUUACUCUGGUGUGUCUAGUCAAAGGGAAUUCAGACGACUGGGAAUAUCUCUGGUACAAAGACAAAACUCUUGAUCUCAAGACAAUGACAUCCCCUAUAAAUACUAGUUACACAAUAUCUCCUGCUUCCCUGUCUGAUAAUGGGGAGUACCGAUGCCUUACUAGAAGAAAGGAUAACCUGAAUAAAGAAUAUUUCAGCAUUUCUAUUGGGCUACAAG